GGGUUGUGAGGUUAAGCGACUAAGCGUACACGGUGGAUGCCCUGGCAGUCAGAGGCGAUGAAGGACGUGCUAAUCUGCGAUAAGCGUCGGUAAGGUGAUAUGAACCGUUAUAACCGGCGAUUUCCGAAUGGGGAAACCCAGUGUGAUUCGUCACACUAUCAUUAACUGAAUCCAUAGGUUAAUGAGGCGAACCGGGGGAACUGAAACAUCUAAGUACCCCGAGGAAAAGAAAUCAACCGAGAUUCCCCCAGUAGCGGCGAGCGAACGGGGAGCAGCCCAGAGCCUGAAUCAGUGUGUGUGUUAGUGGAAGCGUCUGGAAAGGCGCGCGAUACAGGGUGACAGCCCCGUACACAAAAAUGCACAUACUGUGAGCUCGAUGAGUAGGGCGGGACACGUGGUAUCCUGUCUGAAUAUGGGGGGACCAUCCUCCAAGGCUAAAUACUCCUGACUGACCGAUAGUGAACCAGUACCGUGAGGGAAAGGCGAAAAGAACCCCGGCGAGGGGAGUGAAAAAGAACCUGAAACCGUGUACGUACAAGCAGUGGGAGCCUCUUAAUGGGGUGACUGCGUACCUUUUGUAUAAUGGGUCAGCGACUUAUAUUCUGUAGCAAGGUUAACCGAAUAGGGGAGCCGAAGGGAAACCGAGUCUUAACUGGGCGUUAAGUUGCAGGGUAUAGACCCGAAACCCGGUGAUCUAGCCAUGGGCAGGUUGAAGGUUGGGUAACACUAACUGGAGGACCGAACCGACUAAUGUUGAAAAAUUAGCGGAUGACUUGUGGCUGGGGGUGAAAGGCCAAUCAAACCGGGAGAUAGCUGGUUCUCCCCGAAAGCUAUUUAGGUAGCGCCUCGUGAAUUCAUCUCCGGGGGUAGAGCACUGUUUCGGCAAGGGGGUCAUCCCGACUUACCAACCCGAUGCAAACUGCGAAUACCGGAGAAUGUUAUCACGGGAGACACACGGCGGGUGCUAACGUCCGUCGUGAAGAGGGAAACAACCCAGACCGCCAGCUAAGGUCCCAAAGUCAUGGUUAAGUGGGAAACGAUGUGGGAAGGCCCAGACAGCCAGGAUGUUGGCUUAGAAGCAGCCAUCAUUUAAAGAAAGCGUAAUAGCUCACUGGUCGAGUCGGCCUGCGCGGAAGAUGUAACGGGGCUAAACCAUGCACCGAAGCUGCGGCAGCGACGCUUAUGCGUUGUUGGGUAGGGGAGCGUUCUGUAAGCCUGCGAAGGUGUGCUGUGAGGCAUGCUGGAGGUAUCAGAAGUUCGAAUGCUGACAUAAGUAACGAUAAAGCGGGUGAAAAGCCCGCUCGCCGGAAGACCAAGGGUUCCUGUCCAACGUUAAUCGGGGCAGGGUGAGUCGACCCCUAAGGCGAGGCCGAAAGGCGUAGUCGAUGGGAAACAGGUUAAUAUUCCUGUACUUGGUGUUACUGCGAAGGGGGGACGGAGAAGGCUAUGUUGGCCGGGCGACGGUUGUCCCGGUUUAAGCGUGUAGGCUGGUUUUCCAGGCAAAUCCGGAAAAUCAAGGCUGAGGCGUGAUGACGAGGCACUACGGUGCUGAAGCAACAAAUGCCCUGCUUCCAGGAAAAGCCUCUAAGCAUCAGGUAACAUCAAAUCGUACCCCAAACCGACACAGGUGGUCAGGUAGAGAAUACCAAGGCGCUUGAGAGAACUCGGGUGAAGGAACUAGGCAAAAUGGUGCCGUAACUUCGGGAGAAGGCACGCUGAUAUGUAGGUGAAGUCCCUUGCGGAUGGAGCUGAAAUCAGUCGAAGAUACCAGCUGGCUGCAACUGUUUAUUAAAAACACAGCACUGUGCAAACACGAAAGUGGACGUAUACGGUGUGACGCCUGCCCGGUGCCGGAAGGUUAAUUGAUGGGGUUAGCGGUAACGCGAAGCUCUUGAUCGAAGCCCCGGUAAACGGCGGCCGUAACUAUAACGGUCCUAAGGUAGCGAAAUUCCUUGUCGGGUAAGUUCCGACCUGCACGAAUGGCGUAAUGAUGGCCAGGCUGUCUCCACCCGAGACUCAGUGAAAUUGAACUCGCUGUGAAGAUGCAGUGUACCCGCGGCAAGACGGAAAGACCCCGUGAACCUUUACUAUAGCUUGACACUGAACAUUGAGCCUUGAUGUGUAGGAUAGGUGGGAGGCUUUGAAGUGUGGACGCCAGUCUGCAUGGAGCCGACCUUGAAAUACCACCCUUUAAUGUUUGAUGUUCUAACGUUGGCCCCUAAUCGGGGUUGCGGACAGUGUCUGGUGGGUAGUUUGACUGGGGCGGUCUCCUCCUAAAGAGUAACGGAGGAGCACGAAGGUUGGCUAAUCCUGGUCGGACAUCAGGAGGUUAGUGCAAUGGCAUAAGCCAGCUUGACUGCGAGCGUGACGGCGCGAGCAGGUGCGAAAGCAGGUCAUAGUGAUCCGGUGGUUCUGAAUGGAAGGGCCAUCGCUCAACGGAUAAAAGGUACUCCGGGGAUAACAGGCUGAUACCGCCCAAGAGUUCAUAUCGACGGCGGUGUUUGGCACCUCGAUGUCGGCUCAUCACAUCCUGGGGCUGAAGUAGGUCCCAAGGGUAUGGCUGUUCGCCAUUUAAAGUGGUACGCGAGCUGGGUUUAGAACGUCGUGAGACAGUUCGGUCCCUAUCUGCCGUGGGCGCUGGAGAACUGAGGGGGGCUGCUCCUAGUACGAGAGGACCGGAGUGGACGCAUCACUGGUGUUCGGGUUGUCAUGCCAAUGGCACUGCCCGGUAGCUAAAUGCGGAAGAGAUAAGUGCUGAAAGCAUCUAAGCACGAAACUUGCCCCGAGAUGAGUUCUCCCUGACUCCCUGAGAGUCCUGAAGGAACGUUGAAGACGACGACGUUGAUAGGCCGGGUGUGUAAGCGCAGCGAUGCGUUGAGCUAACCGGUACUAAUGAACCGUGAGGCUUAACCUUACAACGCCGAAGCUGUU
rnacentral:rRNA from 1 species